rnacentral:piRNA from 1 species
UCAUUGUCAAUAUCGCCUCUCAUUCUCUGG